UACAGAGGGUGCAAGCGUUAAUCGGAAUUACUGGGCGUAAAGCGUGCGUAGACGGUUAUGUAAGUCGGGUGUGAAAGCCCCGGGCUCAACCUGGGAAUGCCAUUCGAGACUGCAUAGCUAGGGGUGCGGAAGAGGGAAGCGGAAUUUCCGGUGUAGCGGUGAAAUGCGUAGAUAUCGGAAGGAACACCAGUGGCGAAAGCGGCUUCCUGGUCCAGCACCGACGUCAGGCACGAAAGCGUGGGGAGCAAACAGG
rnacentral:rRNA from 1 species